rnacentral:rRNA from 1 species
UGGGGAAUAUUGGACAAUGGGCGGAAGCCUGAUCCAGCCAUGCCGCGUGUGUGAAGAAGGCCUUUUGGUUGUAAAGCACUUUAAGCAAGGAGGAGGCUCUUCUAGUUAAUACCUAGGAUGAGUGGACGUUACUCGCAGAAUAAGCACCGGCUAACUCUGUGCCAGCAGCCGCGGUAAUACAGAGGGUGCGAGCGUUAAUCGGAUUUACUGGGCGUAAAGCGUGCGUAGGCGGCUGAUUAAGUCGGAUGUGAAAUCCCUGAGCUUAACUUAGGAAUUGCAUUCGAUACUGGUCAGCUAGAGUAUGGGAGAGGAUGGUAGAAUUCCAGGUGUAGCGGUGAAAUGCGUAGAGAUCUGGAGGAAUACCGAUGGCGAAGGCAGCCAUCUGGCCUAAUACUGACGCUGAGGUACGAAAGCAUGGGGAGCAAACAGG